AGAGUUUGAUUCUGGCUCAGAACGAACGCUGGCGGCGUGGAUUAGGCAUGCAAGUCGAACGAGAUCUUGGUUAUCCGAUCCUUCGGGUGAAGAUUGCUAAGUGACAGUGGCGAACGGGUGAGUAAUGUAUGAACAACCUGCCCUUAAGUUUGGAAUAACCUCGGGAAACCGGGACUAAUACCGGAUGUUGUUAUAUUUCGGCAUCGUUUUAUAACCAAAGGUGGGGAUCCUUCGGGACCUGCCGCUUAAGGAGGGGUUCAUAUCCUAUUAGUUUGUUGGUGGGGUAACGGCCCACCAAGACUGAGAUGGGUAGCCGACCUGAGAGGGUGACCGGCCACACUGGGACUGAGACACUGCCCAGACUCCUACGGGAGGCUGCAGUCGAGAAUCUUUCGCAAUGGGGGAAACCCUGACGAAGCGACGCCGCGUGAGCGAUGAAGGCCUUCGGGUUGUAAAGCUCUGUCGCCUAGGAAGAAUUGCUAUUGUGUUAAUAGCACUUUAGUUUGACGUUACUAGGAGAGGAAGCCCCGGCUAACUCUGUGCCAGCAGCCGCGGUAAUACAGAGGGGGCUAGCGUUGUUCGGAUUUACUGGGCGUAAAGGGCGCGUAGGUGGAUUUAAAAGUCAGAUGUGAAAUUUCGGUGCUUACCAUCGAACCUGCAUCUGAAACUCUAAAUCUUGAGUUUGGGGGAAGGGAGUGGAAUUCUCGGUGUAGCGGUGAAAUGUGUAGAUAUCGAGAAGAACACCAGUGGCGAAGGCGGCUCUCUAUCCUAAAACUGACACUGAGGCGCGAAAGCUAGGGGAGCGAACGGGAUUAGAUACCCCGGUAGUCCUAGCCAUAAACGAUGUAUACUUGGUGUUAGAGGCAUCAACCCCUCUGGCGCCGGAGCUAACGUGUUAAGUAUACCGCCUGGGGAGUACGGCCGCAAGGCUAAAACUCAAAGAAAUUGACGGGGGCCCGCACAAGCGGUGGAGCAUGUGGUUUAAUACGACGCAACGCGUAGAACCUUACCAGGGCUUGACAUGUAUUUGACAGCUCGUGAAAGCGAGUCUUCCUUCGGGACAGAUACACAGGUGUUGCAUGGCUGUCGUCAGCUCGUGUCGUGAGAUGUUGGGUUAAGUCCCGCAACGAGCGCAACCCUUGUCCUAUGUUGCCAGCACGUAAUGGUGGGGACUCUUAGGAGACUGCCUCGGUUAACGGGGAGGAAGGUGAGGAUGACGUCAAGUCAGUACGGCCCUUACGCUCUGGGCUACACACGUGCUACAAUGGCCGGUACAAAGAGAAG
rnacentral:rRNA from 1 species